GAGGAAUAUUGCGCAAUGGGGGCAACCCUGACGCAGCGACGCCGCGUGGAUGAUGAAGGCCCUUGGGUCGUAAAAUCCUGUCAGAUGGAAAGAAAUGUAUAGCAGUUAAUAUCUGCUAUAUUUGACGGUACCAUCAAAGGAAGCACCGGCUAACUCCGUGCCAGCAGCCGCGGUAAUACGGAGGGUGCAAGCGUUGUUCGGAAUUACUGGGCGUAAAGCGCGCGUAGGCGGUUUGCUAAGUCAGAUGUGAAAGCCCUCGGCUUAACCGGGGACGUGCAUUUGAAACUGGCAGACUUGAGUACUGGAGGGGGUGGUGGAAUUCCCGGUGUAGAGGUGAAAUUCGUAGAUAUCGGGAGGAAUACCGGUGGCGAAGGCGACCACCUGGCCAGAUACUGACGCUGAGGUGCGAAAGCGUGGGGAGCAAAC
rnacentral:rRNA from 1 species